rnacentral:rRNA from 1 species
GACGAACGCCGGCGGCGUGCCUAAUACAUGCAAGUCGAGCGAAGUUUUUUUGGUGCUUGCACCGGAAAAACUUAGCGGCGAACGGGUGAGUAACACGUAAAGAACCUGCCUCAUAGACUGGGACAACUAUUGGAAACGAUAGCUAAUACCGGAUAACAGCAUCAACUGCAUGGUUGAUGUUUAAAAGUUGGUUUUGCUAACACUAUGAGAAGGCUUUGCGGUGCAUCAGCUAGUUGGUGGGGUAAAGGCCUACCAAGGCGACGAUGCAUAGCCGACCUGAGAGGGUGAUCGGCCACACUGGGAUGAGACACGGCCCAGACUCCUACGGGAGGCAGCAGUAGGGAAUCUUCCGCAAUGGGCGAAAGCCUGACGGAGCAACGCCGCGUGAGUGAAGAAGGAUUUCGGUUCGUAAAGCUCUGUUGUUAGGGAAGAAUGAUUGUGUAGUAACUAUACACAGAGAGACGGACCUAACCAAAAGCCACG